GGCUGGUCCUAGUGCAGUGGUAUUUAUAACUACUUGAUCACAGUCAGUUAUAGAUUCCUUUGUUUCUUUUCUACUCCCACUGCUUCACUUGACUAGCCUUAA
rnacentral:Y_RNA from 1 species